GAGAGGUAACAGCCAUCCACCGAUGUCACAACUCUACAAGUUGUAAGAAAAACUCAACAAAAAGGAUUGGGGCAGGGUUCUGUUUUUUGUCUUUAUAGGAUAACAAGAAUACCCAUCUUCAAGAAAGCAUAAGGCCUUGGACACCCAGACUUCUAUAGCAGAAGGGAAGAACCUAUUGGUACCAAUAUACUCUACAGGGACUCCACAGAGAUACUAUUACCCUCUAAACAGCAGGAAGCAAUCCUAAGAAAAUGAUGCCCCUCUCCUAAAGCACUGAUCUGAUCCCCAGAGAAUGUUGGGCUU